AUCCCAUGAUGAGGACACUUGAGUAUGUAAUGUUGAAAGCGCUCCCAAGCUUCUAGGACUGUCUCAUCAUGUUGUUACUUAAAGCUAGAUAUCUUCCCACGUAGAGCAU
rfam:Sorghum bicolor cultivar BTx623 chromosome 2, whole genome shotgun sequence.